GAUGAACGCUAGCUACAGGCUUAACACAUGCAAGUCGAGGGGCAGCAUGGUCUUAGCUUGCUAAGGCCGAUGGCGACCGGCGCACGGGUGAGUAACACGUAUCCAACCUGCCGUCUACUCUUGGACAGCCUUCUGAAAGGAAGAUUAAUACAAGAUGGCAUCAUGAGUCCGCAUGUUCACAUGAUUAAAGGUAUUCCGGUAGACGAUGGGGAUGCGUUCCAUUAGAUAGUAGGCGGGGUAACGGCCCACCUAGUCUUCGAUGGAUAGGGGUUCUGAGAGGAAGGUCCCCCACAUUGGAACUGAGACACGGUCCAAACUCCUACGGGAGGCAGCAGUGAGGAAUAUUGGUCAAUGGGCGAGAGCCUGAACCAGCCAAGUAGCGUGAAGGAUGACUGCCCUAUGGGUUGUAAACUUCUUUUAUAAAGGAAUAAAGUCGGGUAUGGAUACCCGUUUGCAUGUACUUUAUGAAUAAGGAUCGGCUAACUCCGUGCCAGCAGCCGCGGUAAUACGGAGGAUCCGAGCGUUAUCCGGAUUUAUUGGGUUUAAAGGGAGCGUAGAUGGAUGUUUAAGUCAGUUGUGAAAGUUUGCGGCUCAACCGUAAAAUUGCAGUUGAUACUGGAUAUCUUGAGUGCAGUUGAGGCAGGCGGAAUUCGUGGUGUAGCGGUGAAAUGCUUAGAUAUCACGAAGAACUCCGAUUGCGAAGGCAGCCUGCUAAGCUGCAACUGACAUUGAGGCUCGAAAGUGUGGGUAUCAAACAGGAUUAGAUACCCUGGUAGUCCACACGGUAAACGAUGAAUACUCGCUGUUUGCGAUAUACUGCAAGCGGCCAAGCGAAAGCGUUAAGUAUUCCACCUGGGGAGUACGCCGGCAACGGUGAAACUCAAAGGAAUUGACGGGGGCCCGCACAAGCGGAGGAACAUGUGGUUUAAUUCGAUGAUACGCGAGGAACCUUACCCGGGCUUAAAUUGCAGAUGAAUUACGGUGAAAGCCGUAAGCCGCAAGGCAUCUGUGAAGGUGCUGCAUGGUUGUCGUCAGCUCGUGCCGUGAGGUGUCGGCUUAAGUGCCAUAACGAGCGCAACCCUUGUUGUCAGUUACUAACAGGCUCCGCUGAGGACUCUGACAAGACUGCCAUCGUAAGAUGUGAGGAAGGUGGGGAUGACGUCAAAUCGGCACGGCCCUUACGUCCGGGGCUACACACGUGUUACAAUGGGGGGUACAGAGGGCCGCUACCACGCGAGUGGAUGCCAAUCCUCAAAACCUCUCUCAGUUCGGACUGGAGUCUGCAACCCGACUCCACGAAGCUGGAUUCGCUAGUAAUCGCGCAUCAGCCACGGCGCGGUGAAUACGUUCCCGGGCCUUGUACACACCGCCCGUCAAGCCAUGGGAGCCGGGGGUACCUGAAGUGCGUAACCGCGAGGAGCGCCCUAGGGUAAAACUGGUG
rnacentral:rRNA from 1 species